CGUGCCCAGUCGUGGGGGAUAACGUAAAGAAAUUUACGCUAAUACCGCAUACGAUCUAAGGAUGAAAGCGGGGGACCGUAAGGCCUCGCGCGAUUGGAGCGGCUGAUAUCAGAUUAGGUUGUUGGUGAGGUAAAAGCUCACCAAGCCGACAAUCUGUAGCUGGUUUGAGAGAACGACCAGCCACACUGGGACUGAGACACGGCCCAGACUCCUACGGGAGGCAGCAGUGGGGAAUUUUGGACAAUGGGCGAAAGCCUGAUCCAGCAAUGCCGCGUGCAGGAAGAAGGCCUUCGGGUUGUAAACUGCUUUUGUACGGAACGAAAAGGUCUGCCUUAAUACGGCGGGCCCAUGACGGUACCGUAAGAAUAAGCACCGGCUAACUACGUGCCAGCAGCCGCGGUAAUACGUAGGGUGCGAGCGUUAAUCGGAAUUACUGGGCGUAAAGCGUGCGCAGGCGGUGAUGUAAGACAGUUGUGAAAUCCCCGGGCUCAACCUGGGAAUUGCAUCUGUGACUGCAUCGCUAGAGUACGGUAGAGGGGGAUGGAAUUCCGCGUGUAGCAGUGAAAUGCGUAGAUAUGCGGAGGAACACCGAUGGCGAAGGCAAUCCCCUGGACCUGUACUGACGCUCAUGCACGAAAGCG
rnacentral:rRNA from 1 species